GGGAAUUUUGCACAAUGGGGGAAACCCUGAUGCAGCGACGCCGCGUGAAUGAUGAAGGCCUUCGGGUUGUAAAAUUCUGUCCUUAGUGAAGAUAAUGACAGUAACUAAGAAGCAAGCCCUGGCUAAAUACGUGCCAGCAGCCGCGGUAAUACGUAUGGGGCAAGCGUUGUCCGGAAUUAUUGGGCGUAAAGGGUACGUAGGCGGUUAUUUAAGUCCUAAUUAAAAGGCAAUGGCUCAACCAUUGUAAGGUUAGGAAACUAGAUAACUUGAGUAGAUGAGGGGAAAGUGGAAUUCCAUGUGUAGCGGUGAAAUGCGUAGAUAUAUGGAGGAACACCUGUGGCGAAGGCGACUUUCUGGAAUCAAACUGACGCUGAGGUACGAAGGCGUGGGGAGCAAACA
rnacentral:rRNA from 1 species